rnacentral:rRNA from 1 species
UAAUACAGAGGGUGCAAGCGUUAAUCGGAAUUACUGGGCGUAAAGCGUGCGUAGGUGGUUUUUUAAGUCAGGUGUGAAAUCCCGGGCUCAACCUGGGAACUGCAUUCGAUACUGAAGAGCUAGAGUGUGGUAGAGGAUAGUGGAAUUCCCGGUGUAGCGGUGAAAUGCGUAGAUAUCGGGAGGAACAUCAGUGGCGAAGGCGGCUAUCUGGACCAACACUGACACUGAGGCACGAAAGCGUGGGUAGCAAACAGGAUUAGAUACCCUGGUAGUCCACGCCGUAAACGAUGGGCACUAGACGUCGGAAGGUUAAUCCUUUUGGUGUCGCAGCUAACGCAAUAAGUGCCCCGCCUGGGGAGUACGGCCGACAAGGU